AGCACUGUGAUGUAGCAUGAGGCUGCUAUACGGUGACUUGAACACAAGCACUGUGAUACUGCGUCAGUCAGUCUGAUCCCUGGGAAGCAUCAUAUAUUCCAAUAUAUAAGAAACCAUGAAAUCAUAAACAUUUAAACAGCAGGAGGGAUAAAGUGAAGAAGCCGAAGACCUAUAGAAUGAACAAUCUAAAUGGCUCCCGAGUACAUUCCUAUGAAAUCUCUUCUAGGAAACAUCAAGGCACUCACAGCCACUCUGCCAGUCUUAUGACCUAGAAAGAUUCUAUUUUUUUUUUUUCUUGAAGUUUCAAAGAAGAAAGAAAGAUUAAAAUAGAAAGUGAAUUUCCAAACUGGUAUGAAUACUAAUCUGAGAUGACUGUCUCUGUUUUUUCCUCUCUGGACUAUGCCUCAUUUUAAAAUAUAUUUUUCAUUUUUCAGUCCUUUAUUGUUUAUUAAAUCCCAGCUAACUCCUAGACACUAUACUAUGCUUGGGAGUACAAAUCUGGAAAUGCCAUGUGCCUGCCCUCAAAGAACUCAAGUCUAGGAACUAGGCAAAAACAUGUACAUAACUAAUUGUACAGGCCUAGAACAAUCUGGAAAGUAAAAUAAUAGAAAUGUGUUCAAAAUUCUGGGGACCUCAGAAGAGGGCAUGUUUGCUUUUGCCCAGAAGAGUAGGUGGUAAGAAGGCAUCAGAAAGGGAUUCAGAGAGGU